rnacentral:rRNA from 1 species
UUGAACGCUGGCGGCAUGCUUUACACAUGCCAGUCGAACGGUAACAGGCCUUCGGGUGCUGACGAGUGGCGAACGGGUGAGUAAUGCAUCGGAACGUGCCCAGAGGUGGGGGAUAACGCAGCGAAAGCUGUGCUAAUACCGCAUGUGAUCUGAGGAUGAAAGCGGGGGACCAAGCAGCAAUGUUUGGCCUCGCGCCUCUGGAGCGGCCGAUGUCAGAUUAGGUAGUUGGUGGGGUAAAGGCCUACCAAGCCGACGAUCUGUAGCUGGUCUGAGAGGACGACCAGCCACACUGGGACUGAGACACGGCCCAGACUCCUACGGGAGGCAGCAGUGGGGAAUUUUGGACAAUGGGCGCAAGCCUGAUCCAGCAAUGCCGCGUGCGGGAAGAAGGCCUUCGGGUUGUAAACCGCUUUUGUACGGAACGAAAAGGCUCUGGCUAAUACCUGGGGCUGAUGACGGUACCGUAAGAAUAAGCACCGGCUAACUACGU